rnacentral:rRNA from 1 species
UUCCGGUUGAUCCUGCCGGACCUGACUGCUAUCGGAUUGAUACUAAGCCAUGCGAGUCUUUGUAGUAAUACAAGGCAUACGGCUCAGUAACGCGUAGUCAACCUACCCUAUGGACGGGGAUAAUCUCGGGAAACUGAGCAUAAUACCCGGUAGACCACUUAUCCUGGAAUGGUUAGUGGUUAAAAUGAUUCGUCGCCAUAGGAUGGGACUGCGGCCUAUCAGCUUGUUGGUGAGGUAAUGGCCCACCAAGGCGAUAACAGGUACGGGCUCUGAGAGGAGAAGCCCGGAGAUGGGUACUGAGACAAGGACCCAGGCCCUAUGGGGCGCAGCAGGCGAGAAAACUUUGCAAUGUGCGAAAGCACGACAAGGUUAGUCCGAGUGAUUUCUGCUAAAGAGAUCUUUUGCUAGUUAUAAAACCACUAGUGAAUAAGGGGUGGGCAAGUUCUGGUGUCAGCCGCCGCGGUAAAACCAGCACCUCAAGUGGUCAGGAUGAUUAUUGGGCCUAAAGCAUCCGUAGCCGGCUCUGUAAGUUUUCGGUUAAAUCUAUACGCUCAACGUAUGGGCUGCCGAAAAUACUGUAGAGAUAGGGAGUGGGAGAGGUAGACGGUACUCGGUAGGAAGGGGUAAAAUCCUUUGAUCUAUCGAUGACCACCUGUGGCGAAGGCGGUCUACCAGAACACGUUCGACGGUGAGGGAUGAAAGCUGGGGGAGCAAACCGGAUUAGAUACCCGGGUAGUCCCAGCUGUAAACGAUGCAGACUCGAUGAUGCAUUGGCAUAUAGCCAGUGCAGUGUCGCAGGGAAGCCGUUAAGUCUGCCGCCUGGGAAGUACGUACGCAAGUAUGAAACUUAAAGGAAUUGGCGGGGGAGCACCACAAGGGGUGAAGCCUGCGGUUCAAUUGGAUUCAACGCCGG